GACGAACGCUGGCGGCGUGCUUAACACAUGCAAGUCGUACGGUAAGGCCCUUUCGGGGGUACACGAGUGGCGAACGGGUGAGUAACACGUGAGUAACCUGCCCACAACUUUGGGAUGACGCUAGGAAACUGGUGCUAAUACUGGAUAUGUGCUCCUGCUGCAUGGUGGGGGUUGGAAAGCUCCGGCGGUUGUGGAUGGACUCGCGGCCUAUCAGCUUGUUGGUGGGGUAGUGGCCUACCAAGGCGGCGACGGGUAGCCGGCCUGAGAGGGUGACCGGCCACAUUGGGACUGAGAUACGGCCCAGACUCCUACGGGAGGCAGCAGUGGGGAAUAUUGCACAAUGGGCGCAAGCCUGAUGCAGCAACGCCGCGUGCGGGAUGACGGCCUUCGGGUUGUAAACCGCUUUCAGCAGGGACGAAGCUUUUUGUGACGGUACCUGCAGAAGAAGCACCGGCUAACUACGUG
rnacentral:rRNA from 1 species